rnacentral:rRNA from 1 species
AACUAACGCUGGCGGCGUGCCUAACACAUGCAAGUCGUACGAGAAAGCCGGCUUCGGCUGGUGAGUAAAGUGGCGCACGGGUGAGUAACGCGUGGAUAAUCUGCCCUUAAGUGUGGAAUAACGUACCGAAAGGUGCGUUAAUACCGCAUAAUGCCUGGCAACACAAGUUGUCCGGCCAAAGAAGGCCUCUGUUUACAAGCUUUCGCUUCAGGAUGAGUCCGCGUACCAUUAGCUUGUUGGUGGGGUAAUGGCCUACCAAGGCUGCGAUGGUUAGCUGGUCUGAGAGGAUGAUCAGCCACACUGGAACUGAGACACGGUCCAGACUCCUACGGGAGCAGCAGUGAGGAAUAUUGCGCAAUGGGGGCAACCCUGACGCAGCAACGCCGCGUGAGUGAGGAAGGUUUUCGGACUGUAAAGCUCGUGUCGAGCGGGAAGAAGUGUACCAUGGCUAAUAUCCAUGAUAUUUGACGGUACCGCUAGAGG